rnacentral:lncRNA from 1 species
UAAUUUGUUGCCGUCAACAUUGGGAUUUGUGGUUGCGCCAUCAUAUUUGACAUUUUUUUUUCUUCCGAAAUAACCUAGCUCUGAUGCCACUUGUUCGAAACGUGAUAGCCCUUAUAAGUAUUUGAACACAAAUAAUAUGAAUAUGUAUAAGCUGUAUAAUUUAAACAAACACACACUUUUUAUUUCUAAGACAUGCAUACAAGAAGACUACAGCUUUUCUGACUAAGAGCUUCGGCUCUUUUCUUUUUUAACUUCAAAGCUUUCUACUACAUCUAAUACACAGCAGAACUAGUCCUAUUUAUAAGCUUAAAAGAUAUCUAUAUCUCAUGCCUUACGUACAUCAUAUUUAAUUCCUGGUUUCCUGGCCAGCUUUUCAUUUUCAAAUUCUAACAGCCAGCCUACCAUAAUUCUAGGAGUUAUUCUAUCUUCCCGUUUGACUCCUCCAGGCUGUGCAGCUGCUUCUUUCUUUGGUUCACAUUCAUUCAGAGCCUGCCAUCUUUUACUCACAAGACUCCAGGAACUCUUCUUUGAUCAUGCAUGCAUGUAGAAUUUAUUACACACGGUUAUAGCAUCAAUAUUCAAGCCCGUCUGUAAUUAUUAAUACUAUUCCUAGGAAAGAAAACUAACUUGCAGCUUGAGUUUUCCAUUUAUUCCGGAAGCCACCUUUUAUUUUUCAUAUGUCAACUUUAAGUAUUAAGAGGGUUUGAAUUCUAACAAGGCUUCCCUGCUCAACAAAGACCAAGUAAUUCCUUAGAUAUCGCUUGGGGUAAUCAGCCUUUCCUUAAUACCACCCAUUCCUCCAACAACAUAGAGCCCAAUAUCAAUACUUUUGGGAACAACAACCCAAUUGGUGGUUCUACUGGUGGUCCAUCUGGCUCCUGGGGUUGGUCCCCUGCGGGCCCUGCUUGGUCGUCUUCCCCUCCCAGCUAUUUUAUUGAGCCCAACAAUGCCUGGAACAACAACCCCAUGGACGGUUUUGAUGGCCGUCCAUGUCGUUCUUCAUCUGGUACUUUGCCGUUUUCCCCUAUCUGCCACAAUUCUGAGCCCGUUAUUAAUGCCUAUGCAUUUAGGAACAACAACAACCCAAUGGACGGUUCUGCUCAGGAUCCAUCUGGCUCGUCCUCAGGUGCUUGGUCCUCUAAUUAAGAAAUCAAGAAAUUAGAAGAGUACCUACAUUUGGAAAAUAUUUAGGUUGUUUUUAAAUUGUUGGUGUCCAAAAUUUUGUUUUAGUUUAUGAUGUUACAAAUGAAGCCAAGAAAAAUUUCCUAUUUUAGUGACUUUAAUUAUUUGGACCCCAAUUCAAUGGAGUAUUUAAUAUAAAAUUCGGGU